rnacentral:rRNA from 1 species
ACGUUCUCAACGGUUUCAGAAGAGGAGUAUUUAUUAGAUAAAAAGCCAAUGCAUGCUUUUAAAGUAUGGAAUUUGGUGAUUUACAAUAACUUAGCAAAUCGCAUAGCGAAAGCAGGCGAUAAAUCAUUCAAGUAUCUGACCUAUCAGCUUUCGACGGUAAGGUAUUGGCUUACCGUGGCAGUGACGGUUAACGGGGGAUUAGGGUUCGAUUCCGGAGAGGGAGCCUGAGAAACGGCUACCACAUCUAAGGAAGGCAGCAGGCGCGCAAAUUACCCAAUUCUAACAACAUAAGGGAGGUAGUGACAAGAAAUAUCAAUGCAAGGCAGUUAAAAUGUUUUGUAAUUGGGAUGAUAGAAAUUUAAACACUUUUUAAAAUAUCAAUUGGAGGGCAAGUCUGGUGCCAGCAGCCGCGGUAAUUCCAGCUCCAGUAGCGUAUAUUAAAAUUGUUGCAGUUAAAAAGCUCGUAGUUUUAUUUCUGCUAUGGACAACCGGUCUGCUUUGAACAAAAGUGGUAUCUUGGUGUGUUUUUAGCAAUAAUAUC